rnacentral:rRNA from 1 species
ACUCCUACGGGAGGCAGCAGUGAGGUAUAUUGCGCAAUGGGGGCAAUCUUGAGCAGCGACGCCGUGUGAGAGAUGAAGGCAUUCGGGUCGGGGUAAUGUGUCAGAUGGGAAGAAAGGGGAUAUGGUUAAUA